rnacentral:rRNA from 1 species
AGUCGAGGGGCAGCGGGGGCGAAGCUUGCUUCGCCUGCCGGCGACCGGCGCACGGGUGAGUAACACGUAUGCGACCUGCCCCCCGCAGGGGGAUAACCGGGAGAAAUCCCGACUAAUACCGCGUAACGCCGCGGGGCUGCAUGGCCCCGCGGCCAAAGGAAGCGAUUCCGGCGGGGGAUGGGCAUGCGGCGCAUUAGCUAGUCGGCGGGGUAACGGCCCACCGAGGCGACGAUGCGUAGGGGUUCUGAGAGGAAGGUCCCCCACACUGGUACUGAGACACGGACCAGACUCCUACGGGAGGCAGCAGUGAGGAAUAUUGGUCAAUGGGCGUAAGCCUGAACCAGCCAAGUCGCGUGAGGGAAGACGGUCCUACGGAUUGUAAACCUCUUUUGCCGGGGAGCAACGGGGUCCUUGCGAGGGCCUUAUGAGAGUACCCGGAGAAAAAGCAUCGGCUAACUCCGUGCCAGCAGCCGCGGUAAUACGGAGGAUGCGAGCGUUAUCCGGAUUUAUUGGGUUUAAAGGGUGCGUAGGCGGGCUGUUAAGUCAGCGGUCAAAUGUCGGGGCUCAACCCCGGCCUGCCGUUGAAACUGGCGGCCUCGAGUGGGCGAGAAGUAUGCGGAAUGCGUGGUGUAGCGGUGAAAUGCAUAGAUAUCACGCAGAACUCCGAUUGCGAAGGCAGCAUACCGGCGCCCGACUGACGCUGAGGCACGAAAGCGUGGGUAUCGAACAGGAUUAGAUACCCUGGUAGUCCACGCAGUAAACGAUGAAUGCUAGCUGUC